GGGGAAUAUUGCGCAAUGGGGGAAACCCUGACGCAGCAACGCCGCGUGAAGGAUGAAGGUUUUCGGAUUGUAAACUUCUUUGAUGAGGGACGAAGAAAUGACGGUACCUCAAAAACAAGCCACGGCUAACUACGUGCCAGCAGCCGCGGUAAUACGUAGGUGGCGAGCGUUGUCCGGAAUUACUGGGUGUAAAGGGCGUGUAGGCGGGAGAAUAAGUCAGAUGUGAAAUUCCAUGGCUCAACUGUGGCGCUGCAUCUGAAACUAUACUUCUUGAGUGCUGGAGAGGAAAGCGGAAUUCCUAGUGUAGCGGUGAAAUGCGUAGAUAUUAGGAGGAACACCAGUGGCGAAGGCGGCUUUCUGGACAGUAACUGACGCUGAGGCGCGAAAGCGUGGGGAGCAAAC
rnacentral:rRNA from 1 species